GGAGAGGUGCCCGGAGUGGCUUAUCGGGGGCCGUGGCUUGUUCACGGUCUGGCUCACGCCUCCGCAGGUUCGAAUCCUGCCCUCUCCG
rnacentral:tRNA from 1 species